rnacentral:rRNA from 1 species
AGAGCGAACGCUGGCGGCAGGCCUAACACAUGCAAGUCGAACGAACUCUUCGGAGUUAGUGGCGGACGGGUGAGUAACACGUGGAACGUGCCUUUAGGUUCGGAAUAACUCAGGGAAACUUGUGCUAAUACCGAAUGUGCCCUUCGGGGGAAAGAUUUAUCGCCUUUAGAGCGGCCCGCGUCUGAUUAGCUUGUUGGUGGGGUAAUGGCCACCAAGGCUACGA